GCUGGCGGCGUGCCUAUAAUGCNAGUCGAGCGGAACAAUGGAGCUUGCUCCAUCGGUUUAGCGGCGGACGGGUGAGUAACACGUGGGCAACCUGCCCUGCAGAUCGGGAUAACUCCGGGAAACCGGUGCUAAUACCGAAUAGUUUGGCGCCUCUCCUGAGGCGCCACGGAAAGACGGUUCCGGCUGUCACAGCAGGAUGGGCCCGCGGCGCAUUAGCUAGUUGGUGGGGUAAUGGCCCACCAAGGCGACGAUGCGUAGCCGACCUGAGAGGGUGAUCGGCCACACUGGGACUGAGACACGGCCCAGACUCCUACGGGAGGCAGCAGUAGGGAAUCUUCCGCAAUGGACGCAAGUCUGACGGAGCAACGCCGCGUGAGUGACGAAGGUUUUCGGAUCGUAAAACUCUGUUGUGAGGGAAGAACAAGUACCAAGUAACUACUGGUACCUUGACGGUACCUCAUCAGAAAGCCACGGCUAACUACGUGCCAGCAGCCGCGGUAAU
rnacentral:rRNA from 1 species